rnacentral:rRNA from 1 species
UACAGAGGUCUCAAGCGUUGUUCGGAUUCAUUGGGCGUAAAGGGUGCGUAGGUGGCGUCGUAAGUCGGGUGUGAAAUUUCGGAGCUUAACUCCGAAACUGCAUUCGAUACUGCGGUGCUUGAGGACUGGAGAGGAGACUGGAAUUUACGGUGUAGCAGUGAAAUGCGUAGAGAUCGUAAGGAAGACCAGUGGCGAAGGCGGGGUCUCUGGACAGUUCCUGACACUGAGGCGCGAAAGCGUGGGGAGCAAACAGG